UUGUGGGUGGUAGCUGGUAUGUUGGUGGAAACUCCAUGCUUCCAUGGAACCAGCUGUAGAGGAGUGGUGAUGCAAUGAGCAUCCUGGAAGUUUAGUUGUCAUUUGUCACCUUUUGGAUAAUGGAGUAGAUUUCUGAAGCUAUUUCUCCUUGUUUGGUGUUCUGCCUGCAAUUUGGACAAGUGGACUUCAGAUUAUGUCUUCGUAGACUGAAAGGCUUGGGACUACUUUGGUUUUCUGGGGGUCCACUUCAGACCCUAGUUGCCUUGGUUUUUCCCAUACCUGGAGAUGUCACCAGUGAAGCCUGGGAAACAGCAAAGAGGGCAGCCUGAUCGUUCAUCUGGAAACUUUGUUCCAGCAUAAGAAGCCUCUCACCCUAAACAUCACAGCUGGGAAUAUGCUGGACCACAACUAAAGCCAGCAUGGCACUGACUCUGACCAAAGGUGAGACCCAGUACUCAUCAAGGAUUAGCUUCCAGGGGUCCUAGCAAGGUGCAUCACAGUGUCAAGAAUGCACUGCAUUCAGAGAAGUUCAAACUAUGGAUUCCCACCAGAGAAGCCUGAAGUGCUCUGAAGGCUGCCAACAAAAUGUCAAGUGAGUCCACUGACAAAAAGGAAGAGAAACCUUGGAAAAACAUUAUUGCUUAUGUUCCAUCUGAAUCUGAGCAGCUGACCUGAGGAAGGAGGAUUAUAUGCCAAAAGGCCAGUGGUUAUUCUGAUGGUCCUGAGGUCUCCUAAGGGACAAGCUUGAGGAGGGACUUAAAUGGCCAAGGAUGAAAUAAGAAGCAGAAGAGGCUAAUGGUCUUUCUGAUCCAAAGCUGUAAGGCCCAAUGAACCAAUUGAGUUUAAUCUUUCUUUUCCCCCUUUCUCAUGUCCUAUGUGCUUACACACAAAGUUCAAGACAACUUUUGCCCCAAAAUUGCCUCAACCAAAAAAUGCCUGAGUGGUAGGUGGAAAAGGGGAGUUCUGUUUUUGGUGUUCAAAAUCCUUUCCUUUUAUGUUUUGGGUGCUUUUCUUUGGAAUUACCUUUCCUCCUCUUUGAAGAGGUGAACUUUAGAAAGGAAGACUUAUAGAUGACUUUGGUUAUAGCUGCCUCUCAGGUAAAAGAAGCCCUCUACGUAGUUUAUCCUAGCUUACUGGGGGCUAGAGUGGAAUUGAGGCCACAGUUUCCUUCAUGGUAACACAUAGGAUGUUUUCCUGGCAUACAUGACACUAUAGAGGAGGAAAGGGAAAUGGAACAGGUGACUGUGCAGAAGUGGAUUCUGAAUUUUGGUAUCCUUGAUCCAGACAAAUUUAGCCUGUUUCCAUCACUCACAAUCAUCCUAGGUAGAAUUUAAACUUAGAUCAACCAGAUUUCAAAGCUCAUGCCUUUUCUUUGAAACAUUUUCUACUCAGAAGCAGUGUCAUGGAGGACAGGUAGAAUUUAGAAAGGCAGAGGGGUGGGGCAAGAGGACUCAAGAGAGGGCAGAAGAACAAGGAAAGGCAGAAGGCCAAGGAGAAAGCACUGGAUUACUAAGGAUGGAAUGUGGUGGUGGUGGUAGAGUAAUUGAGACCUCUGGUGCUGGAAAUGGGGACUUUAGAUGUAGUGAUAAUAGAAAAGUGAUAGUGGAGAAAUCGAGACCAGGAAAGGACCCUGUCUUUGGAAGGUGAAUGGAGUAGUCUGGGGAGUCUGAACAGACAUGGACAUGGUGGCAGCAGACUGUUAGGGGCAGGAGCCUUGCGGCUGCUGUGGUCAGCAGCGACUGAUUUUCCCGAACUCUUUCAUAGACACACCAAUCCAUCGGCUCCAAUUCCAUUUUUGCUUUGGAAUUGCAUUUCUAAUCCAAUUCCUCGAUCUGUUGGCAUUUCCUCUGUCUCAGAGGCUUGCAGGCCUGUGACUGAAGAGGUGCAGCUCCCAGUCCCCCUCACUUAGCACUGUCAGUUGGCGGAAGUUAAGAGUACAAAGGAUCUUGGUGGAUGGCUCAGAGUUCCUGCAGCUAAGUUAUGGCCAGAUUAAGGCCUUUAGAUUGAGUCACAAAUGUGAGAGAGAUUCUGGAAGUAGAGGAAGGCAGGUUUAGAAAGAAAAAGUGGUUCCUUAUGAGCUGAUCUAAUCACAAAUGAGCAAAGAAAGCUCCUGGAGCCUAGGCGACAUGCUGGCUGAGUAAAUGAGGAAGAGGAUUUUCACCAAAUAAACUGUCUCCACCUACCACUCCUCAAUUACCCUUAACUCUUCGGGGCUAGCAUGGUAAUGAUGCAUUUAGUUCCCAAGACCUGUAAUGGAAAAGAAGAAGGCAAACUGGUUAAAACAAAUAAUGACUCACGUGACUAAAAUGUCUAGCAGUAGAGAGUGCAGUCUUUAGGCACAUUCUGACCAGGGCUCUGGCUCCAUUUCUCUGGCAUUCUUUCUGCUCUGCCAUUUUGAGUCAGUUGCAUUCCCAGACUGGCUUGCCUUAGAGUUCAAUGGUUGGAGCAUUCCUGGGCUUCACAUCAAUACACCAUUCCAUUCAGAGAAAGAGAGAUUCUCUUUUCCAAACCAUCAAAAGUCUUGAAUUUUGUUCUAAUUGAACCAAUUACUCUGUUGAGGAGGAGGAUCUGCUGUAGGACUUUUGGGGCUAGUGUCAGGAUUGGGGUUGGUAGAUCAAUCUCACUCAGACCCUGUGCCUACACAAUGGAUGGAAAGAGAUAGAUGUUGGAGGGAGAGGGCAGCCAGCAAUGUCCUCUCCAGAGUCAUCAGAGCAAUGGACAAGUGUAUCCAUAGCAUGGAUACACUUAUGUGGAAGAGGACAAAAAACAUGUUUACCACAAUAGUACAGAUCUAGGGCCAUACCUGGAAUGGGUAUAGCAUUGCAGAAGAAAUAUUUUUUCUUGUUUACCCCAAAUAUACCAUUGGCAGCAAAGGCAAUGAUUACAGGGUCAUCUUCUCUAUGACAUUUCCAUAGCCUUGCCAAAGAAAUAGGUUGAUAGAUUGAUGUAUAGAUGGAUGGAUGGAUAGCUAGCUAGCUGGUGGAUAGGUGG
rnacentral:lncRNA from 1 species